UGGCGGCGUGCUUAACACAUGCAAGUCGAACGGAAAGGCCCUGCUUUUGUGGGGUGCUCGAGUGGCGAACGGGUGAGUAACACGUGAGUAACCUGCCCUUGACUUUGGGAUAACUUCAGGAAACUGGGGCUAAUACCGGAUAGGAGCUCCUGCUGCAUGGUGGGGGUUGGAAAGUUUCGGCGGUUGGGGAUGGACUCGCGGCUUAUCAGCUUGUUGGUGGGGUAGUGGCUUACCAAGGCUUUGACGGGUAGCCGGCCUGAGAGGGUGACCGGCCACAUUGGGACUGAGAUACGGCCCAGACUCCUACGGGAGGCAGCAGUGGGGAAUAUUGCACAAUGGGCGGAAGCCUGAUGCAGCAACGCCGCGUGCGGGAUGACGGCCUUCGGGUUGUAAACCGCUUUCGCCUGUGACGAAGCGUGAGUGACGGUAAUGGGUAAAGAAGCACCGGCUAACUACGUGCCAGCAGCCGCGGUGAUACGUAGGGUGCGAGCGUUGUCCGGAUUUAUUGGGCGUAAAGGGCUCGUAGGUGGUUGAUCGCGUCGGAAGUGUAAUCUUGGGGCUUAACCCUGAGCGUGCUUUCGAUACGGGUUGACUUGAGGAAGGUAGGGGAGAAUGGAAUUCCUGGUGGAGCGGUGGAAUGCGCAGAUAUCAGGAGGAACACCAGUGGCGAAGGCGGUUCUCUGGGCCUUUCCUGACGCUGAGGAGCGAAAGCGUGGGGAGCGAACAGGCUUAGAUACCCUGGUAGUCCACGCUGUAAACGGUGGGUACUAGGUGUGGGGUCCAUUCCACGGGUUCCGUGCCGUAGCUAACGCUUUAAGUACCCCGCCUGGGGAGUACGGCCGCAAGGCUAAAACUCAAAGGAAUUGACGGGGCCCCGCACAAGCGGCGGAGCAUGCGGAUUAAUUCGAUGCAACGCGUAGAACCUUACCUGGGUUUGACAUGGAUCGGGAGUGCUCAGAGAUGGGUGUGCCUCUUUUGGGGUCGGUUCACAGGUGGUGCAUGGCUGUCGUCAGCUCGUGUCGUGAGAUGUUGGGUUAAGUCCCGCAACGAGCGCAACCCUUGUUCACUGUUGCCAGCACGUUAUGGUGGGGACUCAGUGGAGACCGCCGGGGUCAACUCGGAGGAAGGUGGGGAUGACGUCAAGUCAUCAUGCCCCUUAUGUCCAGGGCUUCACGCAUGCUACAAUGGCUGGUACAGAGAGUGGCGAGCCUGUGAGGGUGAGCGAAUCUCGGAAAGCCGGUCUCAGUUCGGAUUGGGGUCUGCAACUCGACCUCAUGAAGUCGGAGUCGCUAGUAAUCGCAGAUCAGCAACGCUGCGGUGAAUACGUUCCCGGGGCUUGUACACACCGCCCGUCAAGUCAUGAAAGUUGGUAACACCCGAAGCCGGUGGCCUAACCAUUGUGGGGGAGCCGUCGAAGGUGGGACUGGUGAUUAGG
rnacentral:rRNA from 1 species